GGCAGCAUGGUUUAAUGGGAACACUUAAGGUCAGGAGUCAGGAGACCUGGGUUCUAGUCCCAGAUCUGUCU
rnacentral:tRNA from 1 species